AAAUUGAAGAGUUUGAUCAUGGCUCAGAUUGAACGCUGGCGGCAGGCCUAACACAUGCAAGUCGAGCGGUAGCACAGAGAGCUUGCUCUCGGGUGACGAGCGGCGGACGGGUGAGUAAUGUCUGGGAAACUGCCUGAUGGAGGGGGAUAACUACUGGAAACGGUAGCUAAUACCGCAUAACGUCGCAAGACCAAAGUGGGGGACCUUCGGGCCUCAUGCCAUCAGAUGUGCCCAGAUGGGAUUAGCUAGUAGGUGGGGUAACGGCUCACCUAGGCGACGAUCCCUAGCUGGUCUGAGAGGAUGACCAGCCACACUGGAACUGAGACACGGUCCAGACUCCUACGGGAGGCAGCAGUGGGGAAUAUUGCACAAUGGGCGCAAGCCUGAUGCAGCCAUGCCGCGUGUGUGAAGAAGGCCUUCGGGUUGUAAAGCACUUUCAGCGGGGAGGAAGGCGGUGAGGUUAAUAACCUCAUCGAUUGACGUUACCCGCAGAAGAAGCACCGGCUAACUCCGUGCCAGCAGCCGCGGUAAUACGGAGGGUGCAAGCGUUAAUCGGAAUUACUGGGCGUAAAGCGCACGCAGGCGGUCUGUCAAGUCGGAUGUGAAAUCCCCGGGCUCAACCUGGGAACUGCAUUCGAAACUGGCAGGCUAGAGUCUUGUAGAGGGGGGUAGAAUUCCAGGUGUAGCGGUGAAAUGCGUAGAGAUCUGGAGGAAUACCGGUGGCGAAGGCGGCCCCCUGGACAAAGACUGACGCUCAGGUGCGAAAGCGUGGGGAGCAAACAGGAUUAGAUACCCUGGUAGUCCACGCCGUAAACGAUGUCGAUUUGGAGGUUGUGCCCUUGAGGCGUGGCUUCCGGAGCUAACGCGUUAAAUCGACCGCCUGGGGAGUACGGCCGCAAGGUUAAAACUCAAAUGAAUUGACGGGGCCCGCACAAGCGGUGGAGCAUGUGGUUUAAUUCGAUGCAACGCGAAGAACCUUACCUGGUCUUGACAUCCACAGAACUUUCCAGAGAUGGAUUGGUGCCUUCGGGAACUGUGAGACAGGUGCUGCAUGGCUGUCGUCAGCUCGUGUUGUGAAAUGUUGGGUUAAGUCCCGCAACGAGCGCAACCCUUAUCCUUUGUUGCCAGCGGUUAGGCCGGGAACUCAAAGGAGACUGCCAGUGAUAAACUGGAGGAAGGUGGGGAUGACGUCAAGUCAUCAUGGCCCUUACGACCAGGGCUACACACGUGCUACAAUGGCAUAUACAAAGAGAAGCGACCUCGCGAGAGCAAGCGGACCUCAUAAAGUAUGUCGUAGUCCGGAUUGGAGUCUGCAACUCGACUCCAUGAAGUCGGAAUCGCUAGUAAUCGUAGAUCAGAAUGCUACGGUGAAUACGUUCCCGGGCCUUGUACACACCGCCCGUCACACCAUGGGAGUGGGUUGCAAAAGAAGUAGGUAGCUUAACCUUCGGGAGGGCGCUUACCACUUUGUGAUUCAUGACUGGGGUGAAGUCGUAACAAGGUAACCGUAGGGGAACCUGCGGUUGGAUCACCUCCUUACCUUAAAGAA
rnacentral:rRNA from 1 species